rnacentral:ribozyme from 1 species
UGCCCAGCAACUCCUAUCCCUACCUCCUCGUAGGAGUGGUACCGGCCGGAAACUAUGAGCAACCUUAGGGAAGAUCGGGUAACCAACCCCGGUGGGAACUUUGGUCGUAGGCUGACAGGGAAGU